UAUCUCUCCGUACGGGGAAGGAUGAGAAGCUUCGACUAAGGUUCGAUUCGAGCGAAAGCGAGAAAGCGUUGCCGCAGGCAACGACCCGAAGGGCGAAGCGCGCAGCGCUGAGUAAUCCUUCCCCCGUCAUCC
rnacentral:sRNA from 3 species